rnacentral:rRNA from 1 species
GACGAACGCUGGCGGCGUGCUUAACACAUGCAAGUCGAACGGAAAGGCCCUGCUUUUGUGGGGUGCUCGAGUGGCGAACGGGUGAGUAACACGUGAGUAACCUGCCCUUGACUUUGGGAUAACUUCAGGAAACUGGGGCUAAUACCGGAUAGGAGCUCCUGCUGCAUGGUGGGGGUUGGAAAGUUUCGGCGGUUGGGGAUGGACUCGCGGCUUAUCAGCUUGUUGGUGGGGUAGUGGCUUACCAAGGCUUUGACGGGUAGCCGGCCUGAGAGGGUGACCGGCCACAUUGGGACUGAGAUACGGCCCAGACUCCUACGGGAGGCAGCAGUGGGGAAUAUUGCACAAUGGGCGGAAGCCUGAUGCAGCAACGCCGCGUGCGGGAUGACGGCCUUCGGGUUGUAAACCGCUUUCGCCUGUGACGAAGCGUGAGUGACGGUAAUGGGUAAAGAAGCACCGGCUAACUACGUGCCAGCAGCCGCGGUGAUACGUAGGGUGCGAGCGUUGUCCGGAUUUAUUGGGCGUAAAGGGCUCGUAGGUGGUUGAUCGCGUCGGAAGUGUAAUCUUGGGGCUUAACCCUGAGCGUGCUUUCGAUACGGGUUGACUUGAGGAAGGUAGGGGAGAAUGGAAUUCCUGGUGGAGCGGUGGAAUGCGCAGAUAUCAGGAGGAACACCAGUGGCGAAGGCGGUUCUCUGGGCCUUUCCUGACGCUGAGGAGCGAAAGCGUGGGGAGCGAACAGGCUUAGAUACCCUGGUAGUCCACGCUGUAAACGGUGGGUACUAGGUGUGGGGUCCAUUCCACGGGUUCCGUGCCGUAGCUAACGCUUUAAGUACCCCGCCUGGGGAGUACGGCCGCAAGGCUAAAACUCAAAGGAAUUGACGGGGCCCCGCACAAGCGGCGGAGCAUGCGGAUUAAUUCGAUGCAACGCGUAGAACCUUACCUGGGUUUGACAUGGAUCGGGAGUGCUCAGAGAUGGGUGUGCCUCUUUUGGGGUCGGUUCACAGGUGGUGCAUGGCUGUCGUCAGCUCGUGUCGUGAGAUGUUGGGUUAAGUCCCGCAACGAGCGCAACCCUUGUUCACUGUUGCCAGCACGUUAUGGUGGGGACUCAGUGGAGACCGCCGGGGUCAACUCGGAGGAAGGUGGGGAUGACGCCAAGUCAUCAUGCCCCUUAUGUCCAGGGCUUCACGCAUGCUACAAUGGCUGGUACAGAGAGUGGCGAGCCUGUGAGGGUGAGCGAAUCUCGGAAAGCCGGUCUCAGUUCGGAUUGGGGUCUGCAACUCGACCUCAUGAAGUCGGAGUCGCUAGUAAUCGCAGAUCAGCAACGCUGCGGUGAAUACGUUCCCGGG